rnacentral:rRNA from 1 species
UACGUAGGUGGCAAGCGUUGUCCGGAUUUACUGGGCGUAAAGAGCGCGCAGGCGGUCGAUCAAGUCGCGUGUGAAAGCCCCCGGCUCAACUGGGGAGGGUCACGCGAUACUGAUCGACUCGAAGGCAGGAGAGGGUAGUGGAAUUCCCGGUGUAGUGGUGAAAUGCGUAGAUAUCGGGAGGAACAUCCGUGGCGAAGGCGGGCACCCUGGACCAG